GAUUGCGGAGCCGCGGCGGAUCGUUCCAAGCGGGUGCAGAGGGAAAAGGAAGGAGAGCCGAUAGCGGCAGCCUUUUUCUUUCCCUUUUGCAAGCAAUGGGGCAAAGAAAUCGAGGUUCGAUGACAUCCUGUUGAUUUCAAAUUCCAGGGAAGAAGCCGCGUACUGCUGUAACAGAGAGACAUGCAGAGGCUGACAGAUAUAUUGCGGAAUUAUAAGCCAACCGAUGAAGGACAUGAAAAUGUGUGAAAGAAUUCCCCAAUACUGGGAGGCAUAGAAUCUGCAUUCAUUCCUUCAGAGUACAGAAAAGCUGACACUAUUAUAACCCCUGUUCCAUGCAAGUAGACGGGGCUGAUGCAAUUAAAACACAUUGUGAAAGCUGUAGAAUCCACAUCGUGGUCAGAUUAAAACCCAUAGAACACCAGUCAAUGUGCUUGGUGAACUGAAGGAUUUACUGUACAGAACAACCCCCCCUUCAAAAACAGCAUAAUAUGAUGGCAACUCUAUUGGCAAAACACUAUUAAAACUGCAUGUAAGCAAGGCCUUAUUUUGCACAAGUUUAAAUUCCUCUAGAACAGGACCAUUUUAAUGUUAUGUUGACUUAAAAACUGCAGCACAAAUCUCUGGCUAAGAGCUUCGGUAUGGGAUUGGUCUGAACUUUGAGUGCUAAAAUGGUUGUCUCAGUUCAUAUGUCAGCCCUAAAAGGACUUCAGUCCAGGUUGGCCUACCAUUUUGCUGGAUUCAGGGUGAUGCAAGGGUAUCACUGUUCACUUUAACCCACUAUUCACUUCAAUCUAAAGGGCUCCCCAACCUUCCAAAUUCAAAGGAAUGGCUAUAAGUCAUGAUGGCUGAAUACCACCCCCAAGAUCAGAGGCAGCUUACCUCUGAAUAUCAGCCACUGGAAUCCAGGCACUCUUAGAGGAAACAGAUUUUCUAGAUCCAUUUCAAUCUGGAUUCAAGCCUGAGUUUGGUACAGAAACUGCCUUGGUUGCCCUGUACAAUGACCUGUGCCGGGAGAAAGACUCAGGGAUUGUGACUCUGUUGAUCCUCCUUGACCUUUUAGCGCCUUUCGAUACCAUAAACCACCGUAUCCUUCUGGGGCGACCAUCUGAGUUGAGUGUUGGGGGCACCGCACUGCAAUGGUUCCAUUCUUACUUGCAUGGCUGGCUGCAGAAGAUGGUUUAUUUAUUUAUUUAUUAUUUGGUUUAUAUCCCACCUUUCCUCCCCGUAGGAGCCCAGGGCAGCAAACAAAAGCAACGUUGCCUGACUCCGUGGUUGCUCCAGUAUGGGGUCCUACAGGGGUCAGUUCUGUCCCCCAUGUUGUUUAACAUCUACAUGAAACGCUGAGUGGGAUCAUAUGGAGUUUUGGAGUGUGUUAUCAAUGUCAUCAAUAUGCUGAUGACAUGCAGCUCCAUUUCUCCUUGUCAUCUUCUGCAGAUGAGGCAGUGCUUGACUGUGAUAAUGGACUGGACAAGGGCCAAUAAACUGGAGCUUAAUCCAAACAAGACUGAGAUGCUGUUGGUGGGUGGUUCCUCUGACCAGCUAAGUGGUGGGCGGCCUGCUCUAGAUGGGGUCACACUUGCUCUGAAGGAGCAGGUUUGUAGUUUGAGGGGCUCUCCUGGAUCCAUUGCUGCUGCUUGAGGUGCAGGUGGCCUCAGUGGUGUGGAGUGCCUUACAUCAGCUUAGGUUGAUGGCCCAACUGCAACCCUAUCUGGACAGGUAUAACCUGGCUACAGUAAUCUAUGCUCUGGUAAUUUCAAGGUUGGAUUAUUGCAAUGCACUUUACGUGGGGCUGCCUUUGAAAACAGUUUGGACACUUCAGUUGGUCCAGAAUGUGGCUGCCUGAUUGUUGAUGGGUUCAAUGCGAACAGAGCAUAUAACACCAAUCCUGUUCCAGUUACACUGGUGGCCUCUAUGUUUCUGAGCCCAAAUCAAAGUUCUGGUUUGACCUAUAAAGCCCUUUAUGGCUCAGGACCCCAAUAUCUUCUGGAAUGCCUCCCCAAUAUGAACCUGCCCAGACCCUUAUGUUUUCUUCUGAGGGUCUUCUUUGUUGGAGUAAACAAAUAUUGCAUGGUCACUUUAAGGGAUAUUUGGGGAAUAUCCCAUGUACCUGUUUACCAUGAUGUAACUUCCUAAUCGGUGGGGUUUAGUCACCUGACUUCCUCCUCCUUUGUCCUGGAGGAUUUUUGAAUAUUCUUCAUUGCUGAUCUUUCUGCCAUUGAGAGAGGCUGCAUGGCACAGAUGCUUUCUCUAAGAGCAUCAAUACUAAACCACCAAGAUGGACUGAGACUUCUAUAUUUUUCUUUCUUCUAAGCUAGAGCCUAUCUUCUUCUGAACAUGUGAAGAGGUUGUCCCUCCUCUGAGGGUGGUGAUAAGAGAGAGGGCCUUUUCCAUUGUGGCUCUCUAUCCGUGGAAUACGAUCCUCACUGAGGUUCACAUGACACCGUCACUGACAUCUUCAGCACCAGGAAGAAGUCAUCUGGAAUUUUUAAAAAAUUGAACCUGGAUGACACCAGGAAAGUUCCAGGCCAAACUCUAAUGAAAUGUCAGCACAGUAUGAAGACAAGAAAACGGGGAUGAACUUGAUGAUUUCCACUUGCUUUUUAAACAAUUAGCACUCAUUUAUUUAUUUAUAGUUAUCAUUUUGGCUGUUCUCAGCAACAGUAACUUGGAUGACUUGUCUGCUCCUCCCUGCAUGAAAAAUGAAGUUUGAAAGAACGUUCAUUACCUUCAUGGUAUGUGUUGACUCGGUUGAUUCUUCAUCUGCCAAAGGGUAUACCCUGGCUUCUGUCUCAUCUAGAGACUUCUGGUAAGAAAAGUAAUUGAUCAAAUUACCUCGCCUGUAAUCCCACACAGACUGCUUGCUACCACAGCUUGUUAACCUUCUACACAAACAGUUUAUUUAGCUUUCAGAAUGACAUCAUGAAAAUCACCUCCAAUACAUCAAAUGGAUAUGAAAAGAAACCCAGAUUCAAUCUGCCUCAAAGCUAUGUUAUUUUAAAGAUUAAAAUUUAGGCUUUUAGUGCAUAGUUAGUGAGUUUAGUGUACAAUUUCUAUUCUGUUUUUUGUUUGUUAGUAAUGCUUUAUUUCCUGCAGUUUUGAAACAGACAACCAUGCCAAUUCAACCUCCCAAGUGCAAACUAAAGGGUGUAAUCUAGCCAAAGUUAAGUGCUUAACCAACUCUGUCUUAUCCUAACCUCUAUUUUCUUGUUUGGAAGAGGGUGGACCUUUGAUUAUUUGGAGCGACUCAGGUAUGUUUCCAUGUUAUGGUGACAGACAAUGUCAUCCAUUCUCUUCCUAUGUACCUGGCCUGGUCUCAUGUGAAGCAGGCAGUCCAGAGAUAUCUUCCUCAUGACCAAAUUUACAUACUUCCAUUGUGGGGCAAAAUUAAGAAUCUGGACAUGUUUGAAAUGUUUGACUUUCCCUCCAGGAAACACGGCAAGGGAAUUAUGAGUCACUCACAUUCUAUGUUGCCAUUCUGGGUAAAAGACUUUUCAAAUAGGAACAUUUACCUGUUUCAUGGACCUUACUGACAAUACCUAUUUUAUGUACCAAGAGAUGCCAUUUUUGAAAAGUUGCUGCUUAGGGUCUGUGAACAUGUCAGUGUUUUCUUUUAAAAAUAUGUACUGUG